GACAGAGGCCUCGAGCGUUAGGCGGAAUCACUGGGCUUAAAGCGUGUGUAGGCGGGCCCGUAAGUGUCUUGUGAAAUCCCACGGCUCAACCGUGGAACCGCUGGGCAUACUGCGGGUCUUGGGCCAACUAGGGGCAGCCGGAACAAGCGGUGGAGCGGUGAAAUGCGUAGAUAUCGCUUGGAACGCCGAAGGUGAAAACGAGGC
rnacentral:rRNA from 1 species